GCGGGCGGGGCGCGUCCCGGAGGCGGACCGGCUUACUGGGUAACUUCCUGAUGUUGCCAUGGCAUUUGUAAACUGUGAUGACGCUGGUGGGAGUGCAGCAGCGAGGACGACCAGAGGUCACUCUCGUCGCCAUCUUGGUUUUGUUGCCUGGACAACAUACAGCCUCUGGAAACCCAACCUUCCAGCCCUCAGUCCUGCCCUCAAGAGAAAUUUGCCACCAAGGAUUGGCUCCCA
rnacentral:lncRNA from 10 species